UACAGAGGGUGCGAACGUUGCUCGGAUUUACUGGGCGUAAAGCGCUUGUAGGCGGGCAAGUGUGUCGGGUGUGAAAUCCCUGAGCUUAACUCAGGAACUGCAUUCGAAACUACUUGUCUUGAGGAAUUGAGAGGAGAACGGAAUUCCCGGUGUAGAGGUGAAAUUCGUAGAUAUCGGGAGGAACACCAGAUGCGAAGGCGGUUCUCUGGAAAUUUUCUGACGCUGAGAAGCGAAAGCGUGGGGAGCAAACAGG
rnacentral:rRNA from 1 species